GAUGAACGCUGGCGGCGUGCCUAAUACAUGCAAGUAGAACGCAGUUGCGUACGGGUGAGUAACGCGUAGGUAACUGCCUGGUAGCGGGGGAUAACUAAUGGAAAUGAUAGCUCAUACCGAAUACUACCAGAUGGACCUGCGUUGUAUUAGCUAGUUGGGGAGGUAACGGCACACCAAGGCAACGAUACAUAGCCGACCUUGGUGGGAGGUCGGCCCCACGGGGACUGAGACACGGCCCAGGCUCCUACGGGGGUCAGCAGUAGCGAAUCUUCGUCAAUGGGGGUAACCCUGACCGCGCAACGCCGCGUGAGUGAAUAGGGUUUUCGGAUCGUAAAGCUCUGUUGGUAAUGAAGCGGUACUUAACCAGAAAGGGACGGCUAACUACGUGCCAGCAGCCGCGGUAAUAC
rnacentral:rRNA from 1 species